rnacentral:rRNA from 1 species
GACGAACGCUGGCGGCGUGCCUAAUACAUGCAAGUCGAACGCAGUGGGGCCGGGUGAGUAACACGUGGGUAACCUCCCAUCAAAGGGGAUAACACUUGGUAACAGGUGCUAAACCGAUACUGAUGGAUGGCCCCGCGGUGCAUUAGAUAGUUGGGGCGGUAACGGCUCACAAGGGCCACGAUGCAUAGCCGACCUGGGAGGGUGAUCGGCCACACUGGGACUGAGCCACGGCCCAGCCUCCUACGGGAGGCAGCAGUAGGGAAUCGUCGGCAAUGGACGAAAGUCUGACCGCGCAACGCUGCGUGAGUGAAGAAGGUUUUCGGAUCGUAAAACUUUGUUGUGAGAGAAGCGGUAUCUAACCAGAAAGCCACGGCUAACUACGUGCCAGCAGCCGCGGUAAUUC